GGGGCGGCUGGGCUGGUAGCACUUGGGAAGUCGGACGAGGGGGCGCGGGGCACAGUUCCGCGUCUUGCGUUCUGGCCGCAUCCGCCGGGCCAGGUUCGGUAUCUGAGAGUAGGGGCCGUGCGUCCCUGGGGUGGGGAAGCCGGUGGAGGAAAAUGUGGGGCUGGUCUUGAGCGCAGGCCCUGAGUGAGAGUUCCACCCCGCCCGCCCCGCGUGGGUCCCCGCCCAGCCCGGGGCACACCCGCUUUGUGCAAGCUGAGCAGCGAGCGCGCCAGCUCGGCGUUGGAGAGGCCGCUGAGGCGCGUGGCCUGGCAGAAGAAGGCUGCAUGCUGAUCGCCCGUUGCAGGCUGUGUUCUGAGGCCUGGAUGAGCUUGUCUGCCCGGAAGAGGUGCUUGGAGGUCUGCACACGGAUGGAGCGAUGGUCGGGGUACACCUGGUCCUCCUCUGUGGAACUCAGGUAGAGGAUGGGGUUGAUGGUGGGGCCAUCGUGACAAUGGGCAAGCUGGGUCCCCACCAGCCUGGAGUGUGGCAGGAAGUGACAGCCUUGGCUCUGGCUGAGAAGAAUUGCUCCCAGGAUUAUCGGAAGGAUCAGAAUGUGCUGUGGUCUCUUCCCGUAGAUGUAGAGGUGAGGAGCAUCCCUGCAGGCCUGGUCCCAGGCCUGGGAUUUGGGCCCCUCCAUGUUCAGCCUGGGCCUCGAGGUCUGGGAUCAGCUGGAUGAUAGGCUGGGACGGUAGCGCCAUGGACAGGCUCCCAGUGGCCAGCUCAGUGGCCUCUUCAGGACCCUCCACCUUCUUGACCACCAUGCUCCCUUGGCUUCCUCCCCAUGGCUCUCUUCAUCUCCAACUCCACCUGCCCCAAGGGCAGCUCUUCCCCGGGCUUCUGACCUCAGAGUCUUCCCUUGCUUGCUUUCCAAAGUGUCCUGGGCAAUUUAAUCAAAACCCAGAGCCUUAACCCUUCCAUGACCAGCAACUGGCUGUGGUUAGGAGAAGAAGGUGUUAUGGGGUGAACCUCAUAGCAGCCCUGGGGGUUGGAAGCAAAAGCCUGAAGUCAACUCAAAUUGGGGCCUCUGUGCCCAACUUGGGAAUGUUCUAUCAGGGAUUCAAGUGACAUUCUGUAGUAUGUGAAAUAAUUUCCAUUCCCAAUUGCUGGCUGCUAGUACAUAGAAAUGUAUCAAUCUUGUAUCCUGCAGCCAUCCUAAAUUCCUGUUAGCUUCAAUUUUUUCUUCUUUUUUGUAGAUUCCAUAGGGUUGUCUACGUGAAAUAAUGUUUGCAACUCAAGACAGUUUUACGUCUUCCUUCCCAAUCUGGACGUCUCUUAUUUCCUUUCCUUGCCUUAUUGCACAACAAUUGCCAGUAGAAUGUUGGAUAGAAAUGAGAGUGGACAUCCUUGCUUUGCUCCUGAGCUUAGGGGGAAGUCAUUGAUGUUUCCCCAUGAAGUACAAUGUUAGCUGCAGUUUUUCUCUUCGAUGCCCUUCAUCAGGUUGAGGAAGUUCCCCCCUAUUCCGGGUUUACUUAGUUUUUAAGUAGGAAGGGAUGUUGGGUUUUGUCUGAGGCUUUGUCUGCAUUUAUCAAGAUUAGCACAUGGUUCUUCCUUUGUAUUCUGUUAUAUAUUAUAUAUGUUAUGUUGUUAACAUAUGGAUAAUGUUAUAUAUUAUUCUGUUACUAAUUCUUUUGUGUUCUGCUUAUGGUUAAAUAAAUGGUUAAAUCAAUCUUGCAUUCUUAGGAUAAA